rnacentral:rRNA from 1 species
AUUGAACGCUGGCGGCAUGCUUUACACAUACAAGUCGAACGGUAACAGGCCACAAGGUGCUGACGAGUGGCGAACGGGUGAGUAAUGCAUCGGAACGUGCCCAGUCGUGGGGGAUAACGCAGCGAAAGCUGCGCUAAUACCGCAUACGAUCUCUGGAUGAAAGCGGGGGACCGAAAGGCCUCGCGCGAUUGGAGCGGCCGAUGUCAGAUUAGGUAGUUGGUGGGGUAAAGGCCCACCAAGCCAACGAUCUGUAGCUGGUCUGAGAGGACGACCAGCCACACUGGGACUGAGACACGGCCCAGACUCCUACGGGAGGCAGCAGUGGGGAAUUUUGGACAAUGGGCGCAAGCCUGAUCCAGCAAUGCCGCGUGCAGGAAGAAGGCCUUCGGGUUGUAAACUGCUUUUGUACGGAACGAAACGGUCCGGGCUAAUACCCUGGGCUAAUGACGGUACCGUAAGAAUAAGCACCGGCUAACUACGUGCCAGCAGCCGCCGUAA